GAUGAACGCUGGCGGCGUGCCUAAUACAUGCACGUCGAGCGAACGGACGAGAAGCUUGCUUUUCUGAUGUUAGCGGCGGACGGGUGAGUAACACGUGGAUAACCUACCUAUAAGACUGGGAUAACUUCGGGAAACCGGAGCUAAUACCGGAUAAUAUUUUGAACCGCAUGGUUCAAAAGUGAAAGACGGUCUUGCUGUCACUUAUAGAUGGAUCCGCGCUGCAUUAGCUAGUUGGUAAGGUAACGGCUUACCAAGGCAACGAUGCAUAGCCGACCUGAGAGGGUGAUCGGCCACACUGGAACUGAGACACGGUCCAGACUCCUACGGGAGGCAGCAGUAGGGAAUCUUCCGCAAUGGGCGAAAGCCUGACGGAGCAACGCCGCGUGAGUGAUGAAGGUCUUCGGAUCGUAAAACUCUGUUAUUAGGGAAGAACAUAUGUGUAAGUAACUGUGCACAUCUUGACGGUACCUAAUCAGAAAGCCACGGCUAACUACGUG
rnacentral:rRNA from 1 species